GAUGAACGCUGGCGGCGUGCUUAACACAUGCGAGUCGAACGAAGCAUUUAGGACAGAUUACUUCGGUUUGAAGUUCUUUAUGACUGAGAGGCGGACGGGUGAGUAACGCGUGGGUAACCUGCCUUGUACUGGGGGAUAGCAGCUGGAAACGGCUGGUAAUACCGCAUAAGCGCACAAUGUUGCAUGACAUGGUGUGAAAAACUCCGGUGGUAUAAGAUGGACCCGCGUCUGAUUAGCUAGUUGGUGAGAUAACAGCCCACCAAGGCGACGAUCAGUAGCCGACCUGAGAGGGUGACCGGCCACAUUGGGACUGAGACACGGCCCAGACUCCUACGGGAGGCAGCAGUGGGGAAUAUUGCACAAUGGAGGAAACUCUGAUGCAGCGACGCCGCGUGAGUGAAGAAGUAAUUCGUUAUGUAAAGCUCUAUCAGCAGGGAAGAUAGUGACGGUACCUGACUAAGAAGCUCCGGCUAAAUACGUG
rnacentral:rRNA from 1 species